rnacentral:rRNA from 1 species
UCGAACGGAAACUUGAGCUUCGGCAGGUUCUAGUGGCGGACGGGUGAGUAACGCGUGGGUACCUGCCUUAUACAGGGGGAUAACAACCAGAAAUGGUUGCUAAUACCGCAUAAGACCGCAUGGUAAAAACUCCGGUGGUAUAAGAUGGACCCGCGUUGGAUUAGCUAGUUGGCAGGGUAACGGCCUACCAAGGCGACGAUCCAUAGCCGGCCUGAGAGGGUGAACGGCCACAUUGGGACUGAGACACGGCCCAGACUCCUACGGGAGGCAGCAGUGGGGAAUAUUGCACAAUGGGGGAAACCCUGAUGCAGCGACGCCGCGUGAAGAAGAAGUAUCUCGGUAUGUAAAUUCUAUCAGCAGGGAAGAUAGUGACGGUACCUGACUAAGAAGCCCCGGCUAACUACGUGCCAGCAGCCGCGGUAAUACGUAGGGGGCAAGCGUUAUCCGGAUUUACUGGGUGUAAAGGGAGCGUAGACGGACUGGCAAGUCUGAUGUGAAAGGCGGGGGCUCAACCCUGGACUGCAUUGGAAACUGUUAGUCUUGAGUGCCGGAGAGGUAAGCGGAAUUCCUAGUGUAGCGGUGAAAUGCGUAGAUAUUAGGAGGAACACCAGUGGCGAAGGCGGCUUACUGGACGGUAACUGACGUUGAGGCUCGAAAGC